AGUGAACCUGCUGUCAGACAGGUUGGCCUGAUUGACGAUGCCAUCGUCCAUCGCCAAUGGCUUAUAGACAUCACCAUGCUGCGCCGGCAAACAGCGUCAUCAGCUCCAGUAUCUCGCCCGUGCAUCUGUUGUCAUGCGACAGUUGUGAACAUGCUGACAGCUGGUUGCCCAGGCUAUGGAUUAAAGGGCCAGAAGAGAAGGCCCUGCUGCCCCUGUCGGCCCACCGCAGCUGUCAGACAACAUCUCCAAGAUGCUAUAAACUGCAGGACUAGAUGGCCAUCGCAAGGUUACUAGAGAUUACACCAGCUCCAGACUGAAUCCAAACUCACUCAUGAAGACUUCACAUGACGCCAACGCUCACAAAGACUACAGACGACGACAACUGUACAUGAACACACAAGAUCUUAUCCUUAUUUUGCCUAUAAGGGUAAAUUUGGUGAUUUUCAACCUGCUUUAUUGCAAUGUCUCUAAUAUCUGUAAAUGAACAAUAUUUACUCUCUGAGUUAUGUGGACCUACAUGUCCCCUUUUAUUUGUAAGCAGCAAAAUGAAAUGACGAGUUUUGACGAAAUUACACAAUGCAGCAUCUAAAUGAAAACAUGCUGUUUUGUAUCAGUUUUGCUGGCAAAUAAACGGUAUCUAAGAGAAAGAAUAAACAUUGUUCUUUUACAAAUGUUACCAACAAUAUAACAAUACAAAAUGGAUUGAAUUUUUUUUACUUACCCUUUAAAAAUGUUGAAAGAUAAUGUUAAUGUUAACUGAAUACAAAACUAGAGA